UUUGUGAUUAGUGUAGAUUUGUGAUCUUUUGAAGUAGUAAACUAAAUCCUAGCACAAAAUUAAUUUGUGUUAGGGUUUAGACUUAAAACUCCUACAUUAUUACAUUUAUAGUUUUAAAGUGCGAAUAGUAAGUUAUUAUUUGCUCUGAUUUCGUUAUUAAAAUAAUCCAACCCAGUUCUUUUCGACUAGAUCUGCUUUUGCUUAAGUUAAAUUACUUGUUUUAUAUACAAACCCACUUCUCCCCUGUUUCGUUUAAAACAUAAAACCCCAAACCCUUCCUCUGUUUUCAUUAAAAUGAACUCCCAAACCCCUGUUCCAUUUUAAACUUACGACGCCAUGCCCUGUUUUAGUACUGUUGAUUUACCAAGUUGUUGUUCUGUUUGGUAUGACUGAGUCGCCGCCGAGUUUGCACCGAGUUGUCUAAUUACUGUUUAUUAAAAGCUGAGUUGGGUUCUGAUUUCGCUUUUGUAUGAUGCUGAGUUCGCGAUAUUCUGAGUUUUCGAGUCACUAGGUUCAGUAGCUGAGUUUUAAUUCGUUAGUUUAGUUCGAGUCGCGAGUUCAUGCUUUCUGUUUUUUCUGUUUUUGAAUCGCUGCGUUUCUGUAGUUUUUGUCGAGUUCUGCGUUUGUUUGUAGAGUUUUUGAUGGCUGUUCUUGCAGCGAUUUGUUUGAGUGGCUGAGUCUUGUUCUUUCAAUACCAGGGUCGAGUUCCGAGUUUUAAGUUUGCGUUGUUGCUGUGCUGAGUUCCCAGUUUAGUGUAGGCUUUGUUUUGUUUGAUUUGGAAUUUUGAGUCUUCUCUGCUUGGGUUCUGAUUAGCUGAGUUGUAGUUGUGUUUGUUCGAUUAUUCCGAGUCAGUUGAGUCAUCUUCCGAGUCCUUUUCGUUGUGGCUGCGUUGUUCUGUGUUAGAGUUGUUUAUCGCCGAGUUCUGGGUUUUGUAUUGAGUAGUUUCUUUCAUUCUGCGAGUUGUUGCUGUGUUUCUUUGUUUUAGACUUUUUAGUAAUUGAGUCCAGUAUUGAGUCUUGCUGCUGGGUUUCCAUUCGAGUCUGUUUUCGAGUCCAUGUUCUUUUACCGAGUUGUUUUGAUUAGUUCAUGUUUUUCGAGUUGUUGGCUUGCUUCGUUUCUUUUAUUUUUAAGUCUAGCAGUGGAGUAUAACUUUCUGUAGUUUUCUUUUAUUUCCUUUGUAGCGUCAUGUUAGUUUACUAGGUUCAGUGACCCCGCGUUUAGCCUGGUGUAGGAAUUGUUUUUGUGAGUGUAUUUAGUACAUGUGCCUAGUUUAUUUCCUUUUAUAUUUCUUUUAGAUUAACUAAAUGGCUGGGUAGUCAACGUGGUUAUCUUCUGUUGAUAAUAAUAUGUUAUAGGCUAGCUUAGCUUUUAGAGAUAUCAUGCAGAAACUUUCUUAAUUAUUUGUAACUUUUAAGUCUUGUAUUUGCGAGUUUAAUUUUAGUUAAUUUCUAGUUUAAUUGGUUGUAUUCGAAUUAGUAGUCAAUUUCUCCUGCUCAUUAAUUAGCUAAUAAACCCGAAAUUCUAAAAAUAUGGUUCUCAUCCGCCUAGGUUAAUAAUAAUAGGUUGCGAAAAUAAUUUUAAUCUCUGUGGACGAAUCUUAAAUAUUAAAACGGUGAUCGUGCGCUUGCGAUUUAAAAGUUUUAUUUCUAGCACAUCAAGUUUUUGGCGCCGCUGCCGGGGAUUAAAAUUAAUUUUUCGCACCUUUAUUUUUAAUCUUUCGGAUUAGCUUGUUUUCUCACUAUUUUUUUUUGUUCUUUAUUUCGAGAAGGAAUAGUCGGGAUUCAUGGAGUAAAGUGAACAAAUUUUGCUCGGAUUUGGAAGCUUGCUUUGGAAAUUGUAGAUAAAUAAAGAAAGAAGAGAAAAUGCAAGAAAAAGAAGAAAAUGAAAAGAAAAGAAGAAAAAGAAAAAGGGUUGGCAAGUAAAGGACACAUGGAUGGCCACAAUUCUCCCAACACUCAAGGCACAUGGAUGGUCAAGAUGGAGCCACCCUACCCCUAAAUCCUAAUUCUUUAGUUAUAAAUACCCCUCUUCUUUUACUUGUAAUCACCAACCUAGCAACCCUAGCCACCUACCCACCUUUUCUACCUAGUCAUUUCUAUAGUUAGUAUCUUAGAUAGAUUUACAUUUUGCUAGCCCCAAUUUCCUUUCCAAGCUUGUAUACACUCUUUAAUUUCUAUGCAAAUCUCUUUUAUCUUAA